GUGGAAGGGGGCUUGCCCCCGAUGACAGAGUGUCAGUGGAUAAAUUUCUGGCUAGCCCACUGCCAUCGGGGGCAAGCCCCCUCCCAC
rnacentral:misc_RNA from 1 species